GUAGCAGAUGUGCGACGGAGUCCGCCGCGCGGGCAGACCUUGUUGAAGACGUCCAUCGCACCGCAUCCCGCAAACGGGUGCGGCCCGAGAACGGGAGAGAACGCUGAGCGUUACAAC
rnacentral:ncRNA from 1 species